rnacentral:rRNA from 1 species
AACGAACGCUGGCGGCAGGCCUAACACAUGCAAGUCGAACGCCCUAGCAAUAGGGAGUGGCAGACGGGUGAGUAACACGUGGGAACCUUCCCUAUACUACAGAAUAGCCCAGGGAAACUUGGAGUAAUACCGUAUACGCCCGAGAGGGGAAAGAUUUAUCGGUAUAGGAUGGGCCCGCGUCGGAUUAGCUAGUUGGUGAGGUAAUGGCUCACCAAGGCGACGAUCCGUAGCUGGUUUGAGAGAACGACCAGCCACACUGGGACUGAGACACGGCCCAGACUCCUACGGGAGGCAGCAGUGGGGAAUAUUGGACAAUGGGCGCAAGCCUGAUCCAGCCAUGCCGCGUGAGUGAUGAAGGCCUUAGGGUUGUAAAGCUCUUUUGCCGGGGACGAUAAUGACGGUACCCGGAGAAUAAGUCCCGGCUAACUUCGUGCCAGCCGCCGCCGUAA